rnacentral:rRNA from 1 species
AAGUCGUAACAAGGUUUCCGUAGGUGAACCUGCGGAAGGAUCAUUAAUAAAGUCCCAUAUAUAUUUUACCAUUUCCUCCCUGCAACUUAAGGGGGGGGGGAAUCAAUAACUUUUUGCCUCUUUUUGUGUACUUGUUUGGGGGAACACCCCAUUUUGUAUGUGAAAAGGGUAAUCUACAUUUCACUAGAUACUUUGGAGAGAUAGGUACAAAUAAUUAUAAAAACUUUCAACAACGGAUCUCUUGGUUCUCGCAUCGAUGAAGAACGCAGCGAAAUGCGAUAAGUAGUGUGAAUUGCAGAAUUCAGUGAAUCAUCGAAUCUUUGAACGCACAUUGCGCCUCCUGGUAUUCCGGGAGGCAUGCCUGUCCGAGCGUCAUGCAAAAACAUAAGCCCCUGAAGGGGGGCUUGCUUCUGAGGGAUGAGCCUCGUCGCUCCCCCUCGAAUUUCAGAGGCGAAGUACAAUGAAAGAUAACCGGUGAGGAGUAGGUAGUAGUAAAGAAAUUUUCUCUCGACCAAAUCUCCUUGGCCAGUUCUUCGUGACACUUCAGCCGAUUUAACAACCCACUUCUGUUUUUGACCUCGGAUCAGGUAGGGAUACCCGCUGAACUUAAGCAUAUCAAUAAGCGGAGGAAAAGAAACCAACAGGGAUUGCCUCAGUAACUGCGAGUGAAGCGGCAAAAGCUCAAAUUUGAAAUCUGACGUUCAUUCUGACGUCCGAGUUGUAAUUUGGAGGAGCGCCUUCGGGGACAGACGCCCGUUCUAAGUUCUUUUGGAACUGGACAUCACAGAGGGUGAGAAUCCCGUGCCUGGGCGGCAGUCUUGUUCCCAUAGGAAGCGUUUCCGACGAGUCGAGUUGUUUGGGAAUGCAGCUCAAAAUGGGUGGUAAAUUUCAUCUAAAGCUAAAUACAGGCGAGAGACCGAUAGCGCACAAGUAGAGUGAUCGAAAGAUGAAAAGCACUUUGAAAAGAGAGUUAAACAGUACGUGAAAUUGUUGAAAGGGAAGCGCUUGAGAUUGAACCAUGACAGGAUGGAGCUGUUGAGGGCCUCGGUCCUUAAGCACCCCUCCAUCCUCCCUCCAACCACCAUCGGUUCUGGCGGCGAGAAAAACGGUUAGGGAAUGUGGCUUCCCCUCGGGGGAGUGUUAUUAGACCUUUCCCCUUUGCGCCAGCUGGGACCGAGGCACCAAGCGAGCUUCUGGCUCAAGGAUGUGUGGCAUGUCGAUCUUAAGCGACC